UGUCUUUUUUUGUCAUCUAAAAUAAUAAUGGUAACAUAUUAAUACAAACAAAAAAAUAUUCUAGCUCAAAAAAUUGUAUGUGAAUAAUGAAUGGAUGCUAUGGAACUAUAUUUGUUAUGGAGCUAUGUAUGUAUGGAUGCUAUGGAACUAUAUGUAUAUAUGGAUGCUAUGGAAUUUUGGAUGUAUGGAUGCUAUGGAGUUUUGAUAUAUGGAUC
rnacentral:lncRNA from 1 species